AUUGAACGCUGGCGGCAUGCCUUACACAUGCAAGUCGAACGGUAACGGGCCUUCGGGUGCCGCCGAGUGGCGGACGGGUGAGUAAUACAUCGGAACGUGCCCGAUCCUGGGGGAUAACGAGGCGAAAGCUUUGCUAAUACCGCAUACUAUCUACGGCUGACAGCAGGGGACCGCAAGGCCUCUCGCGGCCUUACCGGCCGAUGGCAGAUUGGGUAGUUGGAGGGAUAAAAGCGUACCAAGCCGACGAUCUGUAGCUGGUCUGAGAGGAUGAUCAGCCACACUGGAACUGAGACACGGCCCAGACUCCUACGGGAGGCAGCAGUGGGGAAUUUUGGACAAUGGGCGCAAGCCUGAUCCAGCCAUGCCGCGUGCAGGAUGAAGGCCUUCGGGUUGUAAAGUGCUUUUGUACGGAACGAAAAGCCUUCUUUUAAUACAGGAGGGUCAUGACGGUACCGUAAGAAUAAGCACCGGCUAACUACGUG
rnacentral:rRNA from 1 species